rnacentral:snRNA from 1 species
AAGUGUUACAGCUCUUUUAGAAUAUAUUUAGCAGGUUUUCUGACUUCAGUCGGGACCCCU